GUUAAAGUAAUUUAAUAAAAAUAUUGAUUUUGUAAAUCAAAAUUGGUUUAACCUUUUAACA
rnacentral:tRNA from 1 species